rnacentral:tRNA from 1 species
AGGGGCGUCGUCAAGCGGUAAGACUCCUGCCUUUGGAGCAGGCAUUCGUUGGUUCGAAUCCAGCCGCCCCUG